rnacentral:rRNA from 1 species
GACGAACGCUGGCGGCGUGCUUAACACAUGCAAGUCGAACGGAAAGGCUCCAGCUUGCUGGAGUACUCGAGUGGCGAACGGGUGAGUAACACGUGGGUGAUCUGCCCUGCACUUCGGGAUAAGCCUGGGAAACUGGGUCUAAUACCGGAUAGGACCGCACUCUGGUGUGUGUGGUGGAAAGGUUUUUCUGGUGUGGGAUGAGCCUGCGGGCUUUCAGGUUGUUGGUGGGGUGAUGGGCUACCAAGACGGUGACGGGUAGCCGGCCUGGGAGGGUGGACGGGCACAGUGGGACUUAGAGACGGACCAGACUCCUACGGGAGGCAGCAAGGGGGAAUAUUGCAAAAUGGGGGAAACCCUGAUGCAGCGACGCCGCGGGGGGGAUGAAGGCCUUCGGGUUGUAAACUCCUUUCGCUAGGGACGAAGCUUUUUGUGACGGUACCUGGAGAAGAAGCACCGGCUAACUACGUG